CCAAGACGUAGGUUCAAAGGGAAAACAAAAUCAAACAGAAUCUAACGAAAGCACUUGAGACAAAGUUGUCUCUUCCCAGCUCCUAAGAUGAUAAAGUGCUAAAGAAUGUGAGAAGGAUAAGCAUAAGCAUUUAAUGAUUCCAUAGCUUCUUAAGCGGAGUAUUCCUCAAUACUUUUCAUGGUCAAUCACCUAAUGAGUGUGAAAUGGGG
rnacentral:lncRNA from 1 species